AAACGCUCAAAAAAAAUUGCUGACAGACAAUUAAAUGUGAUCAUUAUUUGUAUCUUGAAACAGUUUUAUUUGUGUUCUUACACGUUCCAAAUUCUAGGUUUGCGGCAAGUAAGGUUACAAUAUCCACUAAGCUUUCUUGGGUACAGGUGGAACUGCAGUAUGUAGAAUUCAUCUGCUUCAGGAUUCGUCUUGGAUCAAUAAACUGACUGUCUAACUGAAAUGCCUGAAUUAUACCUUAAUAUUAUGUCUGCACUUUUCAUGUGCUUCCCAUCAAUAUGUAAAUAUGAUUUGUGCCCAAGAAAACCAAAAAAUACAUUUAAAAAACCUGUUAAUCUCUGAACUCCGAAGUUACCAUUUUAAAUGGACAAUCUUUUACCACGUAGAAUUUCAGGUUAUUUUUCCCAGAAUGUUUCGCUCCUUUUACGAACGCUCACUGAUGGUGUACUUGAUAUAAUAAAAUAGACAGUAAUUACUUAGAUUUAGAGAGGUUAACCCCUCCAUGACAGAUGAUAUGCCACAACUGUCGUAAUAAUCAGAGUAUACUCCUGUUAUGAAGGGGUUAAGAUUACGUAACUUUUGGGAGUGGAAUAUAUUUUUUAGCAAUGUGUGGGCUGUGAAUCUGCUAUUUGUAAUAUAAUUUAUUUAGGAGGACUUCUGAUUUUACGGUUUGAAAAGUGCUCUAAAUUGCUGAGUAAUGCAUUUAUUUUUUGGGGGGUGGGGAAUUUACAACUUUUGGGGUGCCAUAGGGACUUAAUGUAUUGCUUCUCUCUACAUGCAUAAAGGGUUC